AGAGGUUUGAUCCUGGCUCAGAACGAACGCUGGCGGCAGGCCUAACACAUGCAAGUCGAACGCCCUAGCAAUAGGGAGUGGCAGACGGGUGAGUAACGCGUGGGAACCUUCCCAAUGGUACGGAAUAGCCCAGGGAAACUUGGAGUAAUACCGUAUAAUACCCGCAAGGGGAAAGAUUUAUCGCCAUUGGAUGGGCCCGCGUCGGAUUAGCUAGUUGGUGAGGUAAUGGCUCACCAAGGCGACGAUCCGUAGCUGGUCUGAGAGGAUGAUCAGCCACACUGGGACUGAGACACGGCCCAGACUCCUACGGGAGGCAGCAGUGGGGAAUAUUGGGCAAUGGGCGCAAGCCUGACCCAGCCAUGCCGCGUGAGUGACGACGCCUUAGGGUUGUAAAGCUCUUUUGGCGGGGACGAUAUGACGGUACCCGCAGAAUAAGCCCCGGCUAACUUCGUGCCAGCAGCCGCGGUAAUACGAAGGGGGCUAGCGUUGUUCGGAAUCACUGGGCGUAAAGCGCACGUAGGCGGACUUUCAAGUCAGGGGUGAAAUCCCGGGGCUCAACCUCGGAACUGCCUUUGAUACUGUUGGUCUCGAGUCCGGAAGAGGUGGGUGGAAUUCCUAGUGUAGAGGUGAAAUUCGUAGAUAUUAGGAAGAACACCGGUGGCCGAAGGCGGCCA
rnacentral:rRNA from 1 species